rnacentral:lncRNA from 1 species
GUGAAGUUCGUCUUCCAGCUUCUUAGAUUUUCUUGUCGAUCGAUGAACUUUUCUUUGCAGGUUUCGUAUCAUCGACUUCAUGGGAAUACCCUCCGGUAGGGGAAGAUCUUCGGUAGGACACUGUCGUUGGAAGACAAGAGCGCCACGACUCAAAUUAAUGCAAGAAGACAAAGAGAAGGAAAAGAAUACAAAAAGGGGGAAGGGACCAUCCGUAAAUAUGAAUCCAGCUUCAUUGAUCAAAUAAGUUCCAAGUACA